GAUCAUGGCUCAGGAUGAACGCUAGCGACAGGCUUAACACAUGCAAGUCGAGGGGCAGCGAGGGAGUGGCAACACUUCUGUCGGCGACCGGCGCACGGGUGAGUAACGCGUAUGCAACCUGCCCCUUCACAGGGGGAGUAACCGGGAGGAAAUUACCGUACCUAAUAACCGCAUACGUCCUCCGGGGCCGGAUCCCCGGGGGACGGUGAAAGAAAUUAUCGUGAGAUGGCGNUGCGUGAUAUUAGGUUAGGUUGGUCGGGGG
rnacentral:rRNA from 1 species